CAAGGAUGCCAAAAUGAAAUACCAGGAGUGCAACAAGAUCGUGAAGCAGAAGGCCUUUGAGCGGGCCAUCGCAGGCGACGAGCACAAGCGCUCCGUGGUGGACUCGCUGGACAUCGAGAGCAUGACCAUUGAGGAUGAGUACAGCGGACCCAAGCUUGAAGACGGCAAAGUGACAAUCAGUUUCAUGAAGGAGCUCAUGCAGUGGUACAAGGACCAGAAGAAACUGCACCGGAAAUGUGCCUACCAGAUUCUGGUACAGGUCAAAGAGGUCCUCUCCAAGCUGAGCACGCUCGUGGAAACCACACUCAAAGAGGUGCGCGUUGUGGGGCAGUGCGGGGAGGGCCAGCGGGGGUGGGCUCUCUGGCUGGGGAGGGGCCACAGAGCUCAGGAACUCACGGAUCCACCUCCCUCUCUCCCUCACACCCCACCCCUGUGCCUUUCCUCCUGAAUAUCCCAUUUCUCUCCUGGCCUCUUGGUCUUCGUUUGUGUUCCCUGCUUGUGUCUCUUGCAUGAUUCUUCUUGGUCUACUGUGAACUCUUACCCUUCCC
rnacentral:sRNA from 1 species